UUACAUUGUUAUUUAGGUGACUUCUCUCAACCAAGAAGUCGUUAGAGCCUUGGCAAGAGAAGGAUUACCUUCCAUUGGAUUGUCACCAUUUGCUUGUGGAUGGUCUACUCAGCAAAGGAAGCUUGUGUCAGCCAAUGCUUCUCAAAUCAUUCAGUCGCUCCAUGCUGGCUUUGUCCCUGUUUUGCAUGGAGAUGGUGUUCUUGAUGAGUUACUGG